rnacentral:rRNA from 1 species
AUUGAACGCUGGCGGCAGGCCUAACACAUGCAAGUCGAACGGUAACAGGAAACAGCUUGCUGUUUCGCUGACGAGUGGCGGACGGGUGAGUAAUGUCUGGGAAACUGCCUGAUGGAGGGGGAUAACUACUGGAAACGGUAGCUAAUACCGCAUAACGUCGCAAGACCAAAGAGGGGGACCUUCGGGCCUCUUGCCAUCGGAUGUGCCCAGAUGGGAUUAGCUAGUAGGUGGGGUAACGGCUCACCUAGGCGACGAUCCCUAGCUGGUCUGAGAGGAUGACCAGCCACACUGGAACUGAGACACGGUCCAGACUCCUACGGGAGGCAGCAGUGGGGAAUAUUGCACAAUGGGCGCAAGCCUGAUGCAGCCAUGCCGCGUGUAUGAAGAAGGCCUUCGGGUUGUAAAGUACUUUCAGCGGGGAGGAAGGGAGUAAAGUUAAUACCUUUACUCAUUGACGUUACCCGCAGAAGAAGCACCGGCUAACUCCGUGC